rnacentral:rRNA from 1 species
GUGGAUUAGAUCCCUGGUAGUCCACGCCGUAAACGGUGGGUACUAGGUGUGGGUCACAUUCCACGUGAUCCGUGCCGCAGCUAACGCAUUAAGUACCCCGCCUGGGGAGUACGGCCGCAAGGCUAAAACUCAAAGGAAUUGACGGGGCCCCGCACAAGCGGCGGAGCAUGCGGAUUAAUUCGAUGCAACGCGAAGAACCUUACCUGGGUUUGACAUAUGCCGGAAACGUCCAGAGAUGGGCGCCCCUUUUUGGUCUGUAUACAGGUGGUGCACGGUCGUCGUCAACU